rnacentral:rRNA from 1 species
CGCGGCCUAUCAGCUUGUUGGUGGGGUAAUGGCCUACCAAGGCGUCGACGGGUAGCUGGUCUGAGAGGAUGAUCAGCCACACUGGGACUGAGACACGGCCCAGACUCCUACGGGAGGCAGCAGUGGGGAAUCUUGCGCAAUGGGCGAAAGCCUGACGCAGCAACGCCGCGUGCGGGAAGAAGGCCUUCGGGUUGUAAACCGCUUUCAGCAGGAACGAAAAUGACGGUACCUGCAGAAGAAGGUGCGGCCAACUACGUGCCAGCAGCCGCGGUGACACGUAGGCACCAAGCGUUGUCCGGAUUUAUUGGGCGUAAAGAGCUCGUAGGCGGUUCAGUAAGUCGGGUGUGAAAACUCUGGGCUUAACCCAGAGCCGCCACCCGAUACUGCUGUGACUAGAGUCCGGUAGGGGAGUGGGGAAUUCCUAGUGUAGCGGUGAAAUGCGCAGAUAUUAGGAGGAACACCGGUGGCGAAGGCGCCACUCUGGGCCGGAACUGACGCUGAGGAGCGAAAGCGUGGGUAGCAAACAGGAUUAGAUACCCUGGUAGUCCACGCCGUAAACGUUGGGCACUAGGUGUGGGCCUCAACCAACGAGGUCCGUGCCGUCGCUAACGCAUUAAGUGCCCCGCCUGGGGAGUACGG